rnacentral:rRNA from 4 species
CCUACGGGAGGCAGCAGUGGGGAAUAUUGCACAAUGGGCGCAAGCCUGAUGCAGCCAUGCCGCGUGUAUGAAGAAGGCCUUCGGGUUGUAAAGUACUUUCAGCGGGGAGGAAGGCGAUAAGGUUAAUAACCUUGUCGAUUGACGUUACCCGCAGAAGAAGCACCGGCUAACUCCGUGCCAGCAGCCGCGGUAAU